GCCCCGAUGGUGGAAUCGGUAGACACAAGAGAUUUAAAAUCUCUCGCUUUAGGGCGUCCCAGUUCAAGUCUGGGUCGGGGCACCA
rnacentral:tRNA from 4 species